rnacentral:rRNA from 1 species
GACGUAGGGGGCAAGCGUUGUUCGGAAUUAUUGGGCGUAAAGAGCUCGUAGGCGGUUUGUCGCGUCUGCCGUGAAAGUCCGGGGCUCAACUCCGGAUCUGCGGUGGGUACGGGCAGACUAGAGUGAUGUAGGGGAGACUGGAAUUCCUGGUGUAGCGGUGAAAUGCGCAGAUAUCAGGAGGAACACCGAUGGCGAAGGCAGGUCUCUGGGCAUUAACUGACGCUGAGGAGCGGAAAGCAUGGGGAGCGAACAGG